UACGUAGGCACCAAGCGUUGUCCGGAUUUAUUGGGCGUAAAGAGCUCGUAGGCGGUUCAGUAAGUCGGGUGUGAAAACUCUGGGCUCAACCCAGAGACGCCACCCGAUACUGCUGUGACUUGAGUACGGUAGGGGAGUGGGGAAUUCCUGGUGUAGCGGUGAAAUGCGCAGAUAUCAGGAGGAACACCAGUGGCGAAGGCGGGUCUCUGGGCAGUAACUGACGCUGAGGAGCGAAAGCGUGGGGAGCGAACAGG
rnacentral:rRNA from 1 species